UACGUAGGGUGCUAGCGUUACUCGGAAUCAUUGGGCGUAAAGGGUGCGUAGGCGGAAUUAUAAGUCAGGUGUGAAAGCCUUGGGCUCAACCCAAGAAGUGCAUUUGAUACUGUAAUUCUAGAGUACAGGAGAGGAAGGUGGAAUUCCCGGUGUAGAGGUGAAAUCCGUAGAUAUCGGGAGGAAUACCAGAGGCGAAGGCGGCCUUCUGGACUGACACUGACGCUGAGGCACGAAAGCGUGGGGAG
rnacentral:rRNA from 1 species